CAAAAGCCUAGUUAAAUUUGAAUUUUACAGAAGCAACAAGUAAUUUUCAGUAUAACUAUGUCCCAUGCAAUAUUUGGGACAUAUUUAUACUAAAAAAUAUUUGUGGUUUAUCCGAAAUUCAAAUUUAAUUGGACAACAUGUUUUUU
rnacentral:miRNA from 10 species